rnacentral:rRNA from 1 species
UACGUAGGGGGCAAGCGUUGUCCGGAAUUAUUGGGCGUAAAGCGCGCGCAGGCGGCUCUUUAAGUCUGGUGUUUAAUCCCGAGGCUCAACUUCGGGUCGCACUGGAAACUGGGGAGCUUGAGUGCAGAAGAGGAGAGUGGAAUUCCACGUGUAGCGGUGAAAUGCGUAGAGAUGUGGAGGAACACCAGUGGCGAAGGCGACUCU